rnacentral:tRNA from 2 species
GCCGAUGUAGCUCAAUGGUAGAGCAACUCUUUUGUAAAGAGAAGGUUGCGGGUUCAAUUCCCUCCAUCGGCUCUA